UCCGGCGUAGUCCAGUGGUUAGGAUACCUGGCUUUCACCCAGGAGACCCGGGUUCGAAUCCCGGCGUCGGAA
rnacentral:tRNA from 1 species